rnacentral:rRNA from 1 species
CCUACGGGAGGCAGCAGUGAGGAAUAUUGGUCAAUGGACGAGAGUCUGAACCAGCCAAGUAGCGUGAAGGAUGACUGCCCUAUGGGUUGUAAACUUCUUUUAUAUGGGAAUAAAAUAUUCCACGUGUGGGAUUUUGUAUGUACCAUAUGAAUAAGGAUCGGCUAACUCCGUGCCAGCAGCCGCGGUAAUACGGAGGAUCCGAGCGUUAUCCGGAUGUAUGGGGUUUAAAGGGUGCGUAGGUGGAUUGUUAAGUCAGGUGUGAAAGUUUGCGGGUCAACCGGAACAGUGCAGUUGAAACUGGCAGUCUGGAGUACAGGAGAGGGGGGCGGAAUGCGUGGUGUAGCGGUGAAAUGCUGAGAUAGCACGAAGAACUCCGAUUGCGAAGGCAGCUCACUGGACUGCAACUGACACUGAGGCUCGAAAGUGUGGGUAUCAAACAGGAUUAGAUACCCGAGUAGUC